rnacentral:tRNA from 1 species
GGAGACGCGCAAAGCAGGCGUGCUUAUCCGGCUCGAACCCGGUGAAGGCCUUCAGGGCCGUGAGAGUUCGACCCUCUCCGUCUCCUCCA